GUGCAGUGGUGCUGUACUCUUGAUGGAAUGUUGGCAUGGUUAGCUUUUUUGUGUAGUACUACUACUUACCUCUGUUUUGGUUGCGAGAUCUUAUGGGUUUCACCUCUAGCCUACCCCAACUUGUUUGGGACUAAAGGCUUUGUUGUUGUUGUUUGUACUACUUACCUCUGUUUCAACAUGAGGUGUAUCAUGACUGUCCAAGUUCGUGCUUUGACCAACAAUUAGUCCAAUAAUAUUUGGUUUAUGAAAAUAGACACCAUUGAGUUCGUAUACAAAAGCAGUUUCUUUGAUUGUGAUUUUGUAGCUGUAACUGUUAACAAAAUACUGUUUUAGAUAUUUUCGGUCAGAUCGUAGGGAGUAUGUGCUGUUCGACAAAGUUGGCAUAGUAUUUACUGUGUUUUACGAUGUUUGUGCAUCUUUUUUUUUUGGAGAUGAUGUUUGUGCAUCUUCUUGGNNNNNNNNNNNNNNNNNNNNNNNNNNNNNNNNNNNNNNNNNNNNNNNNNNNNNNNNNNNNNNNNNNNNNNNNNNNNNNNNNNNNNNNNNNNNNNNNNNNNUAUUACUUUUGAGAUGUUUUUAAUUAUUCAUAAGGUAAAAGUCCCCAAAUUUAUUGCUGGUGCAGUGGUGCUGUACUCUUGAUGGAAUGUUGGCAUGGUUAGCUUUUUUGUGUAGUACUACUACUUACCUCUGUUUUGGUUGCGAGAUCUUAUGGGUUUCACCUCUAGCCUACCCCAACUUGUUUGGGACUAAAGGCUUUGUUGUUGUUGUUGUUUGUACUACUUACCUCUGUUUCAACAUGAGGUGUAUCAUGACUGUCCAAGUUCGUGCUUUGACCAACAAUUAGUCCAAUAAUAUUUGGUUUAUGAAAAUAGACACCAUUGGGUUCGUAUACAAAAGCAGUUUCUUUGAUUGUGAUUUUGUAGCUGUAACUGUUAACAAAAUACUGUUUUAGAUAUUUUCGGUCAGAUCGUAGGGAGUAUGUGCUGUUCGACAAAGUUGGCAUAGUAUUUACUGUGUUUUACGAUGUUUGUGCAUCUUUUUUUUUUUGGAGAUGAUGUUUGUGCAUCUUCUUGGAAAGCUUUGUUUCCAUUGUUGGCCCAAAUGACAAAUCGAUAGUUUAGUCAUUGCAAUAUUUCCACUCUCCCUUUCAUUUGCUGCCAAAGAGGUUGUGUCAUGUCAUUCUCUAUUUUGUGUGUAUGCCAUAUCAGUAAUCUUUCUUAUAUUUGCUGAUUCCUUGUCUGUGGACGUUGUGGGCUUGGACAAAUGUGGCCAACCACGUUUCUGUUCUUAACUUCUUCCUUCCUAUUGCAGCCAUCAUUAUGGUACAACUCUCCUGCAAAAAGUACCAGUUAUUCUGCAGCACUGGGAUCUGUCGGCAUUGGGACAGGUACAGAUGUUGUAUCUGCAACUCCUAGUCACGAUGGUCCAGCACCAAGUGUACUUCGUGAGAAUUGUGAACCUGUGAAUUCCACACGUGGUGGUUCUCCUGCGAAUGCGGUCCGAGGACAGCAUUCGCCCACCCCAAGUAUGUGUUCGGACAGCUCUUCAUCUCGCUGUACUAACAGCCAGUAUCCUUUUGAACCGAUGGUGGCACAUCUAGGUCAUGAUGCCCUUGUGAGGAGUGCUUUGCUCAGUGUUAAUGGCUUGGAUUCUGCUGGACCAAGCAUGGAGUAUAAUGGUCAUGAUACCCUCGCACGAAGCAGUUCUGAAGGCCAUGAUUCUCAUGUAUCAGGACCAACACUUGGAAACUCUGCAUCUGUCAGUAUGGAAGGCCUGCAUUCUGCUGCACCAGGUAGGACACCUGAAGCCCAUGACGCUCUUGCAUCCAAUAGGGCACAUGAAAGUGUUGCUGCAACUCCAGGCGUAUCAUGUCAAGCCUAUACUCCAAGUAGGAUUCCUCAGUUCUCCGCGGCGACAAGUAUGGCGCCUGAGCUCCGUGCACCAAGAAGUAUGGCACCGCAUCUCAGUGCGCCAAGAAGUAUGGCGCCUGAGCUCCGUGCGCCAAGAAGUAUGGCACCGCAUCUCAGUGCGCCA
rnacentral:lncRNA from 1 species